AGAGAGAAUCAUUGAUUGGCUGCCUCCUGAACGCCCCCCACUGGGGAUCAAGCUGUCUUAAAUUCUUGUCUGCUUUCGAUCAUUAUUGUGUUUUUUUUUAGUCUAUUUAUAUUUCCUGAUUUUGAUUCCCACUGUCCUGCUUCUUCCCAGUAAUUGCUAAGUGUCUAAAUUUUUUGUUCUUCUUGUAAAGAGCAGCUUUAUUUGGAAGACAGUUAAAUUGCCUGCAGAUCAGGUUUCAAGACUUGAAUUUAAGCUCUGAUGAGAGAAAGGGAGAGGGAUAGAGA